GUCUACAGCCAUACCACCCUGAACGCACCCAGUCUUGUCUGGUCUUGGAAGCUAAGCAGGGCUGGGCCUGGUUAGUACUUGGAUGGGAAACUGCCUGGGAAUACCGGCUGCUGUAGGCU
rnacentral:rRNA from 1 species